GGCCCGGGUCCAUAAUGCUUGACAGAUGGGCUAUAGAAUGAGAGAAGCUUGCCAAGGAAAGCAGAUGUCAACGCUGGCACUUUGCGUGACGUGACUUCAUCUUUGAAAACCGUGAAGCAAACUAUGCAAGGUGUUGAUCUCCCGGCAGGCCCUGACAGGAAGUUUCCGCAGCUCUCCACCAAACCCAUUGGAGUGCACAUCAGCCUGACGGAUGGAUGAAUGACACCAGUGAAAAAAGAGCGCUAUCCUCCGGGCUAACCCG